GGAUGUGAGAGCAAUCUGGCUGUCAUAUCUGUCACCCCAUUGAUCACCAGGGUUGAUUCAGCUGAUCUGGCUGGCCAGGCGGUUAUCCCCUUCCUCCCUCACCUGCUCCAUGUGUGUCCUUUCUGAAGCCGCACUCAAAGAGGUUGACCUUCCUUGAAUAGAGACAGACCAGACCGGCCUUCUGUCAAAGUUGCUGUGAUCCCCUGCUAGAACCUCCAAACAAGCUAUCAAUUUAUUUUGCUGUAAUUGGUCUAUUUAUACUUUGCAAUUCCUCCUAGUAGAAAUGUACCUAUCUCUUCCAGGUUUUGUAGUUGGUGGCAUGU
rnacentral:snRNA from 1 species